AGGCAGCAGUAGGGAAUAUUGGGCAAUGGGCGGAAGCCUGACCCAGCCAUGCCGCGUGAAGGAAGACGGCCUUAUGGGUUGUAAACUUCUUUACUAUGCGACUAACUAGAUUUACGAGAUAAUUCUAUAGAAUUAGCA
rnacentral:rRNA from 1 species